rnacentral:lncRNA from 10 species
AGCAGACUCAUGGGGCGGAUGCCUGCAGCUGCAAGAAGAUGUAUGGGAACAGACACAGAAACUCUCCCUCCCAGAUAAGCAAGACAAAGAAACACAGACUAAGAGUCAGCCUAUGUGGUCAGGGAAUGGGAUAAAAGCUGAUAAAAAAAAUUCUGCUCUAUAUAGAUAGCACACUUGGUCGCAGCUAAACCAUCAGGCCCUAAGAGGAUAAGACAUCCCCUCCUCAUGAGGCCCCUCCUCCCUAGACCAUUUAUAAAAACCCUGACAUUUUUACUACUGCUUAGCAACCUGCUCGGGACCCCUCUCUGUGACUGUGAGCUGUUCUGUUCUUUUGCCUAUUAAACUCCUGCUCCAAACUCACUCGAUGUGUGUGUGCAUGUCCUUGACCUCAAUAUCUGGUCGUGUGACCAAGAACCUCAGUAUUCACCCCAGACAACAAGGCUGCUUCAUUUUGAGGGCUCGUCUGGGAUUUGAAGGUGACUUCAUCAGAAUGCUUUGCUGCUAAAGGGAUCUGCAGUCCAGCUGAAAACCUGCCCUUGCCUGAGCCCAGCCACUUUCUCCCAGAGAAAACUGGAGAACCUAAACAUGAUUGUGAACAGAAACCAUCAAGCUUCAGAUGGUGCUGAAAAUGGAGCCGAAAAUGAAACUGCCCUCCUACGAGGGACCCUUAAAUCAACCCCAGGAGGAGCCCUAGCUGCUGUUCCCCACACAACGCCACUCUCCAGCAGGAAGUAGCCAGAAGAAAUCGUCACCCAGUUUCCCCUAGCAGCAGCGCAGUAAGAUUGAGGAGCUAAAAACAGACUUGGGUGGAUGUCUGCAGCUGCAAGAAGAUGUGUGGGAACAGACACAGAAACUCUCCCUCCCAGAUAAGCAAGACAAAGAAACACAGAAUAAGAGUCCAUCUAUGUGGUCAGAGAAUGGGAUAAGAGCUGAUUUAAAAAAACUCUGCUCUAUAUAGAAGGCACACCUGGUCCCAACCAAACCACUGGACCCUAGGAGGAUAAGACCUCCUCUGCUCAUGAGCCCCCUCCUCAGUAGCCCAUUUAUAAAAACCCUGACAAUUUUACUACCACUUGGCAACCCGCUCGGGACCCCUCUCUGUGAUGGAGAGCUGUUCUUUUCUUUUGCCUAUUAAACUCCUGCUCCAAACUCACUGUGUGUGUGUCUGUCUGCAACCUCAAUCUCCUUGGCCAUGACACCAAAAACCUUAGUAUUUACCCCAGACAACAAGGCUGCUUCACCAGCCUUCUCACAUUAAAUUCCACACAUUGCAUGUCGGUGCUGUCACAGCUGUGUCUAUCACCACAGCAACAAGCAGACGGACUC